CAUGGUCAUCUAGAGGAAGUAAAAGUCGUAACAAGGUCUCCGUUGGUGAACCAGCGGAGGGAUCAUUACCGAGUUUACAACUCCCAAACCCAAUGUGAACCAUACCAAACUGUUGCCUCGGCGGGGUCACGCCCCGGGUGCGUCGCAGCCCCGGAACCAGGCGCCCGCCGGAGGGACCAACCAAACUCUUUUCUGUAGUCCCCUCGCGGACGUUAUUUCUUACAGCUCUGAGCAAAAAUUCAAAAUGAAUCAAAACUUUCAACAACGGAUCUCUUGGUUCUGGCAUCGAUGAAGAACGCAGCGAAAUGCGAUAAGUAAUGUGAAUUGCAGAAUUCAGUGAAUCAUCGAAUCUUUGAACGCACAUUGCGCCCGCCAGUAUUCUGGCGGGCAUGCCUGUCCGAGCGUCAUUUCAACCCUCGAACCCCUCCGGGGGGUCGGCGUUGGGGAUCGGGAACCCCUAAGACGGGAUCCCGGCCCCGAAAUACAGUGGCGGUCUCGCCGCAGCCUCUCCUGCGCAGUAGUUUGCACAACUCGCACCGGGAGCGCGGCGCGUCCACGUCCGUAAAACACCCAACUUCUGAAAUGUUGACCUCGGAUCAGGUAGGAAUACCCGCUGAACUUAAGCAUAUCAAUAAGCGGAGGA
rnacentral:rRNA from 1 species